rnacentral:rRNA from 1 species
UACGGGGGGGGCAAGCGUUGUUCGGAAUUACUGGGCGUAAAGGGCUCGUAGGCGGCCAACUAAGUCAGACGUGAAAUCCCUCGGCUUAACCGGGGAACUGCGUCUGAUACUGGAUGGCUUGAGUUUGGGAGAGGGAUGCGGAAUUCCAGGUGUAGCGGUGAAAUGCGCAGAUAUCAGGAGGAACACCGGUGGCGAAGGCGGUUCUCUGGGCAUUACCUGACGCUGAGGAGCGAAAGCCAGGGGAGCAAACGGG